GAUCCUGGCUCAGGACGAACGCUGGCGGCGUGCUUAACACAUGCAAGUCGAACGAAGCUAUGCUUUGGAAUCCUUCGGGAGGAAGAUGUAUAGACUUAGUGGCGGACGGGUGAGUAACGCGUGAGCAACCUGCCUACAAGAGGGGGACAACAGCUGGAAACGGCUGCUAAUACCGCAUAAGACCACACUUUCACAUGAAAGAGAGGUCAAAGAUUUAUCGCUUGUAGAUGGGCUCGCG
rnacentral:rRNA from 1 species